AGUCGAGGGGCAGCACGGGCAAUAGCAAUAUUGUCUGGUGGCGACCGGCGCACGGGUGCGUAACACGUAUGCAAUCUGCCUUGUACUGGAGGAUAACCCCGAGAAAUCGGGGCUAAUAUUCCAUAACAUCAUGAAGUGGCAUCACUUUAUGAUUAAAGCUCCGGCGGUACAAGAUGAGCAUGCGCCCAAUUAGCUAGUUGGUGAGGUAAUGGCUCACCAAGGCUACGAUUGGUAGGGGUUCUGAGAGGAUGAUCCCCCACACUGGUACUGAGACACGGACCAGACUCCUACGGGAGGCAGCAGUGAGGAAUAUUGCGCAAUGGACGAAAGUCUGACGCAGCCAUGCCGCGUGCAGGAUUGAAGGCCCUAUGGGUUGUAAACUGCUUUUGUACGGGAAUAAACGCUCCUACGUGUAGGAGCCUGAAGGUACCGUAAGAAUAAGCACCGGCUAACUCCGUGCCAGCAGCCGCGGUAAUACGGAGGGUGCAAGCGUUAUCCGGAUUUAUUGGGUUUAAAGGGUCCGUAGGCGGGCCGUUAAGUCAGUGGUGAAAGCCCACAGCUCAACUGUGGAAUUGCCAUUGAUACUGGCGGUCUUGAGUAUGUAUGAAGUUGGCGGAAUGUGUGGUGUAGCGGUGAAAUGCUUAGAUAUCACACAGAACACCGAUUGCGAAGGCAGCUGGCUAAUACAUAACUGACGCUGAGGGACGAAAGUGUGGGGAUCAAACAGGAUUAGAUACCCUGGUAGUCCACACCGUAAACGAUGAUCACUAGAUUUUGGCCGCANGGUCAGANUCCNAGCGAAAGUGUUAAGUGAUCCACCU
rnacentral:rRNA from 1 species